rnacentral:rRNA from 1 species
AACGAACGCUGGCGGCAUGCCUAACACAUGCAAGUCGAACGAGACCUUCGGGUCUAGUGGCGCACGGGUGCGUAACGCGUGGGAAUCUGCCCUUAGGUACGGAAUAACUCAGGGAAACUUGAGCUAAUACCGUAUAAUGACUUCGGUCCAAAGAUUUAUCGCCUAAGGAUGAGCCCGCGUCGGAUUAGCUAGUUGGUGAGGUAAAAGCUCACCAAGGCGACGAUCCGUAGCUGGCUGAGAGGAUGAUCAGCCACACUGGGACUGAGACACGGCCCAGACUCCUACGGGAGGCAGCAGUGGGGAAUAUUGGACAAUGGGCGAAAGCCUGAUCCAGCAAUGCCGCGUGAGUGAUGAAGGCCUUAGGGUUGUAAAGCU